rnacentral:sRNA from 1 species
ACAGCAACUGUAGAGACUGAAGUCCUCUCCUUAGCCACAGAACAGGUACAGCAUGGGCGGUGUAAGCUUACUCUUCCAAAUGAGCCUCAUCCCUGCCCCACUUGAGUAUAUCAACUUUUUACAGGAAACCAAGUCCAUUCAUCAGAAGGCUGUUCAGCCUUUAUGCCUUUCCCAUCUCUGCU